GCCUUACCCUCCCAAAGUGCUGGGAUUACAGGAGUGAGCCAUUGUACCCGGCCUUAUGCAGCUUUUAAAAUCAAUUUUAUUGAGGUAUAAUUUACGUAGUACAAAUUGCAGCCAUUUUAAGCUUACAACUAAGAUACAGACCAUUUCCUUUGCCACAGAAAAUGUCCACUGCCCCUUUGCAGUUAAUCCUCCUCCACACUCACUGCUGGCUCCAGGCUACACUGAUCUACUUUUCAUCACUGUAGAUUAGAUUUUCUUUUUAUAGAACUUCAUAUAUAUGUAAUCACACAAUAUGUACUCUUUUGUGUCUGGUUAUUUUUGCCUGGAAUAAUGUCUUUGAGAUCCAUCUGUGUUGCUUCCUCCAUCAGUAGUUCAUUACUUUUUAUUGCCAAAUCAUAUUUCACUGUAUAUAUGGUACAAUUUGUUUAUCCAUUCAUGUGUUGAUGGACAUUUGGGUUAUUUCCAGUUGAGAGUUGUUACUAAUAAAGC
rnacentral:lncRNA from 1 species